rnacentral:rRNA from 1 species
CGUUACAGGUUCUCGGUGUGCUUCUGCCAAACCCAAAUUUUCUAUGGUUGACCUCGGAUCAGGUAGGGAUACCCGCUGAACUUAAGCAUAUCAAUAAGCGGAGGAA